rnacentral:rRNA from 1 species
AUGGCGAAAUGCUUCCUGGUGCUCGCCUUCUUGGCGUUUCUCCUGCCAGCGGCCUACGCGAUGUGCCACCCUGACGACCUCCAAGCGCCGCGGGGCUUCGCCAGGAAGAGCAAUAGAAGAACACUCCAACAACAACAGCCAAAUACCAUUACUGGGACCAACAACAGUGUCAGAUCUGGGAGUGGUAAUAUUGUAUCUGGGAACAGCAACACUGUCGUAUCUGGGGACAACAACAAUGUUUCUGGGAGCAACAACACAGUCACAUCUGGGAGCAACAAUGUCAUAGUUGACAGCAACCAUGUCGUAACUGGGAACAACAAUACUGUAUCUGGCAGGAACAAUAUGGUAACUGGGAACAAUAAUGUUGUAUCAGGGAGCAACCAUGUCGUGUCCGGGGACAACAAAGUCGUAACUGGCGGUUAA